UUGUCCAGUACAGGUCCUGGGUCCCUACUGCCAAAUGGUUUCUGACAUGUUAUGGUUGCUUGUUAAAUAUUUGAUAAAUGAGUCAUCAAGCUGAUCACCUUAUAAUGAAGUUCUGCCCACAUAUGCAUCUGUGUUUGUAACGGCUGUGUUGGGGACAUGCAUUUGUGAUAACCGUCAUGCAUGUAUGAGAAAAGAACAGCGGCAGGUUGAGAUCAAUGACACACGGUACCAGCUGAAGGCCAGACACAGUGCAGAGGCCCAUAGGCAGGAGCUUGCAUUGAUCCUGUAGAUGCUGGGAUGACAAACCACUGAAGGACUCAGGGUAAUUUUGUUUGUGUUCUGCUAUUUUUUUCCCCCCCUGAGCUUCUUAAGCCUCCUGUGCCAUUGCUCUCUACAUCCUUAGGCGGGACUGGCAGUGGGAGCUAUGC